rnacentral:lncRNA from 1 species
GCUUGUUGGGUGCACAUUUGGGUCACCGUGAGUGGUAUAUUUUGUUAUUUUUAAAGUCCAUAAUCUUCCUCAAGUCAGUAUUACUUAAUUCAUAACCAUAACCUCUGUUUUUGCAUUUAUAGAAUGAAAGCAUUGAGAACAGUUAUCUGCCUUCUCUUCCCAACUCCACAAAGCUGAGAUUGCUCUAAAUUCUGUUCACACUUUUUUCCAGGUGGGGUCCUUCAAACAGACCUGUAUUCAGAGGCCCUGUGUAUACAAUGAAUAAAGAUCAGGCAGCUCUGUUUAGAAGCAGGGGCCGGGGGCUCAUCCCCCAACAGCUUCCACCCCACCAGCUGAAACUGCUAUUACUCCAAGAGGGAUGGGGCUGCCACUCAUUUGCCUGUGUUUGUACCAGAGCUGGUCAGAUGUCAGUUCGGCCUUCUCACAGAGCCCUCCCACCUCGGGGGUGCAUUGCCCAAGACUGAAGGAGCUCAAGAAAUCAGUCACCUUCAGAGCUGCUGAGCUGCUAUUCGUUUCUUGGCAUCGUAUUAGGUGACUCAGCUUAGGAAAGCCUUCUGCAGAUUUGACAAGGCACCCUUCAGGAGGCCAGGGCUUUUCACGAAGGGGCUUCCAGUGUGCCCUGCCUUUUGGCUGUGUGUAAUUUAAUUAUAUUUUAAUAUGUGUGUG